CUACUGGAUUCUGUACAGAAAGUAGUGUUUCUGCUGGACAAUUUAAUUCAAUGGACUCACUGGUCUCACUCUUCAAUGAACAGCUGCAGUCUUCACUACCUACAUCCUCUAGUUUGGCUUGGUCUUCCAGCAUUCUUUUCAAUUGGAGCAUUAUAGCUUUAAGGUUGUACAUGUACAAUAAUUUUAAACUAUUUCCAUAUGAGUUAUGCUGGAAAGAAAAACGAGAACAAAAGGGAUAAACCAUGAGAAUUUUUUAAAAAUUAAAAGGUCAAAGUAAUAUGUUUCAAUCUUCA